AGCUCCAAUAGCGUAUAUUAAAGUUGUUGCAGUUAAAAAGCUCGUAGUUGGAUUUCUGGUCUGAUGCCCUGGCCCGGGUUAAUACUAAUCUGUGUGCCGGCUGUGCGUCUGCCAUCCUUCUAGAAAUCGUGUCUACUCUUCACUGAGCCGGGCACGCGAUCUAGAUCUUUUACUUUGAAAAAAUUAGAGUGUUUAAAGCAGGCUUUUGCUAUGAAUACAUUAGCAUGGAAUAAUAAUCUAGGACUUCGGUUCUAUUUUGUUGGUUUCUAGUACUGAAGUAAUGAUUGAUAGGGAUAGUUGGGGGUGCUAGUAUUGAGCGGCCAGAGGUGAAAUUCUUGGAUUCGCUCAAGACUAACUUAUGCGAAAGCAUUCACCAAGGAUGUCUUCUUUAAUCAAGAAC
rnacentral:rRNA from 1 species